rnacentral:rRNA from 1 species
CCUACGGGGGGCAGCAGUGAGGAAUAUUGGUCAAUGGACGCAAGUCUGAACCAGCCAUGCCGCGUGCAGGAUGACGGCCCUAUGAGUUGUAAACUGCUUUUGUACGGGGGUAAACCCCGAUACGUGUAACGGGUUGAAAGUAUCGUACGAAUAAGGAUCGGCUAACUCCGUGCCAGCCGCCGCGGUAAUACGGAGGAUCCGAGCGUUAAUCGGAUUUAUUGGGUUUAAAGGGUGCGUAGGCGGGUUGAUAAGUUAGAUGUGAAAUGUCGGGGCUCAACCCCGAAACUGCCUCUAAUACUGGUUGACUAGAGAAUAGUAGCGGUAGGCGGAAUGUAUGGUGUAGCGGUGAAAUGCUUAGAGAUCAGACAGAAUACCGAUUGCGAAGGCAGCUUACCAAACAAUAACUGACGUUGAGGCACGAAAGCGUGGGUAGCAAACAGGAUUAGAUACCCUUGUAGUC